CUGUGUGAAUGCAAGUGUGAACACCUGCUUAAUUUAAGCAUAUAAGUAGGCGGAGGAAAUGACACAAACAUGGAUUCACUGAGUAACUGCGAGUGACAUGUGAUUUGCUCACAGCUGAUAUUCUUUGCUGUCUGCUUUGACAUGAGGACUUUGAGUGCGGUGCCAAUGGUGGUGUAAGUGUGAGCCAUCUUGGAAAAGAGGAGAGUGUGCACUGACAAGGGUGAGAAGCCUGUGUGUGCUUGCAAAAUCUCCAUAUGGGGGUCACGCUUUGAGAAUCAUGCUCUUUGGAAGUGGAGUGUAAAGUGGGUGGUAGACUCUUCUCAAAGCUGAGUACAGAACUGGGACCGACAGGGAAGAAGUACCAUGAGGGAAGUGUGAAAAGGACUUUGGAAAGAGACUUAAAAGAGCCUGUACUUGCUGAAGGAUAUGCAUACAGCAUGCUUGCAUGUGAGAUGAUUGCUGUGUGUAUGAGUCUGACUUUGGCUGGAUGGCCAUGGCCGUGUGCCAUGGACACUUGGCCACCCAAUGUGUAUCCUCUUGUGUGUGCCAGCAUGUGGGAGACAGUCAGUGUUUGAGUGCAGUGGUUGCUGUGUCUGGGGAUACAUCAGAUGUGCACUCAAAGAUCUGAGCAUGUUGAGAAGCAGGUGCAGAAGGGCCCUCCUGUCUGUAUGACCCGUCUUGAAACACGGACCAAGGAGUCUAGCAUGAGUGCAAGCAUAUGGGACCGAAGGCUCUGUGUGCAAUGAAGGUGGAGUCCCAGAUUUGUGCAUGAGUGUUCAAACAAGCAGGAGGACAAGGUUUGAGUCUGAGCAUUCCUGACAGGACCCGAAAGAUGGUGAACUAUGCCCGGAAAGGGCCAAGUCAGGGGAAACUCUGGUGGAGGCUCGUAGCGUUACUGACGUGCAAAUCGUUCGUCACACCUGGGUAUGGGGGCGAAAGACUAAUCGAACCAUCUAGUAGCUGGUUCCCUCUGAAGUUUCCCUCAGGAUAGCUGAACUUGCAGGACUUUCACCAGGUAAAGCGAAUGAUUGGAGGAAUUGGGGGUUGCAGACCUUUGACCUAUUCUCAAACUUUUAAUGGGUGUGUUGUGUGGUUGCUUAGCUGAACCAACAGCUAAUGAUGACUCUUAGUGGGCCACUUUUGGUAAGCAGAACUGGCGAUGAGGGGUGAACCUGAUGAUGGGUUAAGGCACUGAAGUUCUUGCUCAUCAGAAACUGUAAAGGGUGUUGGCUCAUUCUGACAGCAGGUCGGUGGUCAUGGAAGUUGAAAUCCGCUUGGGAGUGUGUAACAACUCACCUGCCGAAUGGACUGGCCCCAAAAAUGGAUGGUGCUCCAGCAGGUGGCUGACACUUGUCAAGUGUGAAUUCUAACCACAAUGUGUAGGAGGGUAUGGUUGUUAGUGCCGAAACAUUGAG
rnacentral:rRNA from 1 species